GACGUCAGCGCGAUGAUUGUUCUAUUUGGAGUUUCUUCUUCUUCAUCAUCUUUGAUCUAGGAUGGGUUCGAGGCCGGUAGCCUGGGAUAGCAAGGAUGGACGUCAUUCUUUUAUUGUUUGCUUUCAUCCGUAGUCGGACCCUGCUCUCCUACAUGGUGAUUGAAUAUAUUGUUGUAUUGUGUUGUUCAGGUUGUAGCUUGUUGAGAGUGUAAGCCAAUUCCAUAUACUCAUAUCUUCUGUACAUGUACUUGUAACGAUAUCCAUUCUUGCAAAACAACGAAAUGCUCUUCUAUCCU
rnacentral:lncRNA from 1 species